rnacentral:lncRNA from 1 species
AUGGACAUGAAUCGCCUGACAUCUGCUCAUUCCAAGCCCAGACUUUAUCUCCUUCCUGAAGCAACCAUAGGCCUGGCUCCCACACUCCCCUUGACUCUUAACUGUUACCUGACACAUGGUGAGGCAUCAAGAAAGGCUAGCGGCGGCGGGGUGGGGGGGAGAAGGGUUAGAAACUCUGGUUUCCAGGGAAAACCUCUGGAGCACCUUAGGGUUAACGUGGGUAGGCCAGGGCCCCAGAGCUUGGGGGUGGGGGCCUCAGCUCCAGGCCCACAGGCCAUAUGGCAGGAGGCUCAGUCACCACUGACUUUCUUUUUUUGUUUGUUUUUUUGGUACUGGGGACUUAACUCGGGUCCUUGCACUUGCAAGGCAGGCCACUGAACCGCUAAGCUAAAUCCCCGGCCCCAACAUUGACUUUCUUCAAGCCUAUGUCUGGUGUUCUCAUACAGCCCCACACAAUCUUCUUAACCAUAUUUGGGGGAAGAUGAUCCUUUUUUAUUAUGCCAAUUAUUCCUCUAAGUUAUUUUCCUAAUCAUUAAUAGGGAUCUAACUCUUUUUUUGGUUGGUAUAUUAGUUACUUUUCUGUCAUUGGGACAAAAUAUCAAACAUCUGCAACUUAAAGGAAGAGUGUUUUAUUUUGGCUCACAGUUUCAGUGGGUUGAGUCCAUGCAUGAGCUCCAGGGCAGAAUCCACAUGGUGAAUGGGCCCAGUGGCAGAGGAGAGCUGCUCACACAGAGGAAGAGCCAGGAACAGCAAUAUACCCUUUCAAGUCACACCCCCAGUGGUCCAUCCCUCUGACCAGACCCCACCUCCCAGUGUGAGACCUUUGGGGAUAAUUUUAGAUUUAAAUCAUAAGAGUCGGUGAGGUAAAACUUAUAGAUAGAAGAAAUUCAAAGAGAUGUAAAAAGUUAUACUGGCUUCCAUUCCUCCCCUGUUUCUCUUGCCCACUGUAAGUCACUUUCUUAUGGUUCCUUCUAGAAAUAACAUUAAGAAGAUACAGUCAUGUGGUUGGUCAGUACUUCCUGAGUGCCAGCUAUGAUCCAGGUGGUGUUUUGUAUAAAAUAUAUAAAAAUCCUUGCUGUAGCUGGUGGCCCAUACUUGUAAUCCCAACCUCAGCAACUUGACAACUUAGUGAGACCUUGUCUCAAAGCAAAAAAUAAUUUAAAAAUAUAAAACUCAGACACACAAGCUUAAAUAUCACGAUUUCUCUUAUAUGAGAAACUCAAAACAUAGUAACUAAAGAACAAAAUAAAAGAUAGAUAAUAGGAAAUAUGGAGAUAAACCUUUUGCAAAUGAGGAGAAUAGAUGGAAG